CCCUUAGAUGUUCUGGGCCGCACGCGCGCUACACUGACGAAUGCAACGAGCUUAUAACCUUGGCCGAAAGGUCUGGGUAACCUCCAAAUUUCGUCGUGAUGGGGAUAGAUUAUUGCAAUUAUUAAUCUUCAACGAGGAAUGCCUAGUAAGCGCAAGUCAUCAGCUUGCGUUGAUUACGUCCCUGCCCUUUGUACACACCGCCCGUCGCUCCUACCGAUUGAAUGGUCCGGUGAAGCGUUCGGACCGUGGCCUUUGGACGGUUCGCCGUCUGUUGGCUGCGGGAAGUUCGUUAAACCUUAUCAUUUAGAGGAAGGAGAAGUCGUAACA
rnacentral:rRNA from 1 species